AUAAAGUAACUGAAUUCAGUGAGCCCAACUAGUAAUCUGGGGGAAAAAAAUACACACUUUAUAAAGCAGUGCUGUCCAGUAGAACUUCCCGCUCUCUUGAUGGUGUUCCAUUUCUUCACUCUCUAGUAAUUACUUUAAACAGCUACACAUGCCUCGUGACUACUGUACUAGACAGUUUAACUAUAGAGGACCCAAAAAAUUCUGGAAACACGAUAAAUUAUAUAUUUACUGUUCUUUUUUCAGAUUAACAAUUGGAUCCAUGGCUUAAAUUCUGAGGUACUUUAUCUGAAAAGGCAUUGUCCACAUUUCUUGAAAACAGAACUGAUGUAUUGUUUAAGUUGACUGUUUCUCAACUUUUUGGAUACUGUAUAUAAGAUACUCUUGCCUUCUACUUAGUUUCUCCUUUUUGUCAUUUCUCAUUUAUUUUCAGCCAUUAUUUCCUAUAUAAGCACUGAAGUCUGAAAAUCUCCCCCUGCUUACUCCACCUUUACCUGUUGGCCCGUGGAAGCCAGCCCCUUGCAGAGAGCUGUCCGGCACUGGCAUCUCAGCGUGGCUCUCCAAUCACUUUCCCAUACACAGUCACCUUCCUUUGAAGGUCUCAACAGGUUGCAUUAUUCACUUAGGUUGAAGGGCAUUUAACAGAAGGGAGAUGGAUAUAUUCGAAUGGCAUUCAUGAAUAUAUGGAUUUAUGUACCAACCCACACUAGGCUCUUUAUAGCUACCUCCCACAAACUCCAAUGACUUGUAUUUUGAUAAUCACCUUAGCUCUUUUACCUAGAAGCUUCUAGAGGCCUUGGGCUGUAUUUUAAUUCCCUAGCACUACACCUACAUAUAGAAAAUGUUCUGUAUACAAUUGUACAUUACUUAGAAAUAAAUGUAUCUUGGAUAUUAAGACCUUAAUAUAGGAACAAGAUUAGAGAAAGCUUCACUGGGAACCUAGCUUGUCGGACAAAAAAAAAAAAAAUUUAAAGCUGGUUCUACCUCCCUCAGCUGCACUUCAUUCUUCAAGGCAAAAUCUAUGCCAUGGAUGAAACCUCUAGGGUGAAUUUUGUUAUCUGUCGAGGCCUAAAGUUAUUAUGAGGGGUACCAAAUUAUCUCAUAUUUUUCUAACAGAAAAAUUGUGACUUUUAGAAUCUUUUGUUACUUCUAAUCCUUCAUGAACACUUGAAAAAUAAAAUAAAAAUUACUAGAAAAAUAGUCACACACUUGGAUGUCUUCACAGUGUCAAAAUGCUAUAGAAGAUUUUAAACACUCUCAAAUUUCAGUGAGAGACAUUCCAUAGGCCAGUAGCAGGCACAGACCACACUUCAGGUGGCCCUGUUCUAGAAGCCUCAGGCUUUCCCUGUUAUCCAGAGCAGGGUAGACAAACUUUUUUUUUUUUGUAAAGGGCCAGACAAAAUUCUUAAGGCUUUGCCAUAGCAAAAAAGCAACCAUAGACGAUACAUAAAUGAACGGGCAUGACUGUGUUUCAAAUUUUUAUUUACUGAGGCAGGAGGGUGGAGUUGGCCUACAAGCCCAUUGUUUGCCAAUUCCUGAGUUAAAAGAGCUUUUUUUCAAAAAAAAAAAAGUAACCUCCUUUUUCCCAAUUACUGUGCGGGUUUUAUGUAAUUUCUGUGCACACAAUUUUGAAGCAUAGGUCUUAAUAUUUGGGGAGGAUAGUUAUGGAUUUAAAGUGGUAUCGGCAUCUUCAAAUCUAGAGUAUCCAGGUGAAUUAAAAAUGUUUACUGUUCUAGUUGGAGGUGUAUAUGAUCACAAGAUGCCAGUACGGGGAACUGAAUUUUUGUGUCCCUCCCCAAAUUCAUAUGUUGAAGUCUUAACACCCAAUGUAUUAGCAAUGUACUAGCCUUUGGGGGGGGGUAAUUAGGUCAUAAGGGUGGAGCCUUCAUGAAUGGGAUUAGUGCUCUUAUAAAAGGACCCCAGAGAGUUCUCUCACUUUUCUCCCACCAUGUGAGGAUGCAACGAGAAGUUGGCAGUCUGCAAACUUGAAGAGGGCUCUCACCAGAACUGAAGCUGCUGGCAACGUGAUUUCCAACUUCCAGCCUCCAGAACUGUGAGAAAUAAAUUUCUGUUGUCUCAGACCUAAGCCUCACAUGUUACCAUUUUGAUGUGGAAUCUAACUGGUUGCAAGUAACACAUGGAUUCUGGCUGAUUUCAUCUGGAAAGGAAUUUACUGGAAGAAUGAUGGGUAGCUUAGGGAAUGGAUGGGAAACCUGGAAACUAGACAGUCUCACAAAGGGAUGGCGAAGAUGAAAUACCACUGCAGAUGCUCAGCUACACCCAGGAUACCAUGUUCUUUGUAAGAAUACAGUUUUAAAAGUCAAACACAGGUGACUAAGUUCACACUGAACGUUCAGAAGAAGAGUACGAUGUCCCUUGUUUCACGGUUGAGAAUCAGGAUGGAAGGGAUUACGUUCUCUCCACUUCACCUGCUGCCCAGAGGUAAAUUUUAGUGGUCGGAGCCACUGGAUCCUCACUGUGUCUUUAUUCACAUCACUUCAUUUCUCCUUUUAAUAAGUCUGAGACAUCUAGCUA